rnacentral:rRNA from 1 species
UGCGUAGGUGGUUUCUUGAGUCAGAGGUGAAAGGCUACGGCUCAACCGUAGUAAGCCUUUGAAACUGGGAAACUUGAGUGCAGGAGAGGAGAGUGGAAUUCCUAGUGUAGCGGUGAAAUGCGUAGAUAUUAGGAGGAACACCAGUUGCGAAGGCGGCUCUCUGGACUGUAACUGACACUGAGGCACGAAAGCGUGGGGAGCAAACA